UUGAGUCAGAUUUGAUUAGAUCAGAUCCAGAACCCAUAUUAGAUGCACCAUUAAGGCGAUCGGGUAGAGUACCACGUCAGCCGGACAGAUACUACGGUUUCUUGAUCCGGGAUGGGGAUCCUAUCGAACUUGAUGAAAACGAUGAGGAUUCGAUCACAUAUAUGGAUGCAAUGCAGAGGUAUGACUCUGAUAAAUGGCUUGGAGCCAUGCAAUC
rnacentral:lncRNA from 1 species